CUUUCAUUAAGUAUCAUCGUAAUGUUCGAUUCCAUAAGUCGGUAUGGAAGACCGUCUAUAAUAAUUCGAUUGUCUUGAAACAUUUGGGAAUAAAAGUCUUGCUCUUUAAUAAUUUGUAUUAAGUCGUGUUGACUUAGAACGUUCGUUCUUUUCAGUGUAUCUAUAUCAGGUGAAGGUUCUUUUAAUGAAUAUGGGUAAGCCUUGUAAAACGAACAAAUCU
rnacentral:lncRNA from 1 species